rnacentral:lncRNA from 1 species
UUUAAGUCAUUAAAGUAAUGUGUUGCUUUUGAAGGCAAUCUAUUUGAAACAUGUAAUUUCCUGAUGUUAUCUGCAUUGUGUUGGAAAAAAAUAAUAGGCUAUAUAUAAAUCCAUUUUUGUAAAAGUUAUGUGUAUAGUUUUAAGGUGUGUACAGAAAAAGGAAGAGCGUACACAGUCUUAGAGUGGAGUAUACCUCUAAUAUGAUGUAUGGAUUAGCAAAGAAAUGAUUAUUUACCAUCUUAACUGCAACAAGUAAAUGUAUUGUUCUGUUCUAAAGACACUGUAUAUUUAUGACCUUAUUUGGACAUCAUUAGACACUGGUUUCUUAGUAAAGCAAAAAUGACUUGGAUCCAGAUUCUUUGUAAUUGAGACACUUAAAAUUAUGUAUUAGUAAUAGCAGAUAUAUUUAGAUUUUAUAUUUUUAUAAUUUAGCUUCUAUACAUGCAAAAGUUGAAUUGAGAAAUUUAAGUCAUUGCCAUAUUUUUGUUUUGUUUGACCAAAUAUCAAAAAUAUUGGAAAAGUAUCCUCUUUGAGACAGUGACACCAUGUAUGUACUCUUCAUAGGGCAAAAGGAAAUGUUGACAGUUGUCAUAGGUGAGCAAUAAAAGCUUCAAGUUUAUUGAAAGUUUCAGAAGUAUAACUUGUUACAUACAUGGAAAAUAUAAAUCAAUUUAUAUAUUUUUAAGUACCUAACCCUAAUAUUCUUUCCCUCCACCCCAGCAGUCUCUAGUCCUAGUCAAAUGAAAAAAUUAUAAAAUGUUGCAAAUGAGCAGUUUAAACAUUCAGUCUAAUUACAAUCUCACAACUGGGCAAUAUAUAUAUAGCUUCUUAAAAUUUUAUCCUUUGCAAUCUACUAAUAUGUCAUUAGACUGGUUUCUGCAUAAAUUUAUGUACUAAAGAUUUGUUGGUCUUGUUUCCAUUGUUUUUAUUAUUGGCACAGCUUCACAAAUUUGAAGACUAUUGUCUAAGACUAUUAUUAUGAAAGUAUUUUCCUCAAAUUUAAUUAGAAUAACUAAAGGAUAAUUGUGAGCUUGAUCAUGUCACAUCUGAAAUAAAAAUUUGGCUGAAUUUAGUUAACACUUGGAAAUGAAUUGCAAAAGAUAGACUAGUCUACUAAAAGAUCCUCAUGCAGCAGCAGUGUGUUAACAUCUAGAACUGCCCAUUAUCUGUAGUGUGGUAUAUUAAUCAGACAUUUUAGCAAAUGUAUUCAAAUAACUUUUUUGCUUAUGUGAUAUUCACAACUUUUACAUGUUUUAAAAUUUGACUUCUAAUACACAUUAUAGUAGUAUUUAAUUCUAGCAUUCCAUUUUGUCCAUAAAUACCUAUGUAUCUCUCACAUGUCAACUGGAAGCAAUUUUGAUUAUCAAUUUUCUAUUUAAUGAAAACAAAUUGUUAUUCUGAAUGUUUUUGUUCACCUGAAAUUUAUUUUUGAGUAGGUUGAAAGGACCAAGAUACUUGAGUGUUUAAAGGGCUUAUAAGCGUUCUCCUUAUAUGCAGGAAACACUUGAUUUUAAAAGUCAUAAGAGGGGAAGUAAUUUUAUGUUCCAUGAAUUACCCCCCAUACUAAGAAAGUAUUUAAGAAAAUAUUUUUUACAUAAGAGGUUGUGAUGUGGUUUAGUUAUGUUUAGGUGAGAAUUUAUUUUCCUAUUAAAAUUAGAAAAAUAUACCUUUACUCCUUGCACUUCUCCUCAGUUCCCCAAAUUUCCAAGUGAUUUGAACUAAAUACUACAUUUACUAAGAAACUACUUAUGUUCUUAAUUAUACUGAGCUAAGCACUACAAAUGAUGUUUUGUACUAUGUACAGUAGCCAAGAGGUCAAAUUGAGUCAGAAGACUGUAACUACCACUUUUGACGCUCUAGAGAUAAAUCUUGUACACACUGCAGUAAAAUAAUUAGAAAAUAUUAUGCGCUAUAAAUAUAUAUUAUUUUUAGUUUUGAUAGCUCUGUGUUGAAAUACUUUUUUAAUGCAGAUAAAAUCAUCAGGAAAUUAACCUUUAUAUGGCACAAACCAAAUACAUAAUAGUGGGUGGCUAUGAGUUUCUACAUUUAAGGAGCUAAGAAUAGGUUUGAAAUGAUAUAUAGUACACAUGAUAUGAUGCAGAGGGCACACACAUGCUCAUUACUUUUUAAGAUUGUGUGUGUUGAUUAAUCACAAUGAUAAACUAUUAAUUGAGGCAAAAAUACAAAGUUACAUUUUUGGACCAUAUUAAAACUGCAAGAAGAUGAGGUCUUCUUAAAGAUCUUUUAGAAAACUUAAAUCCUGUCACACGAUAUUUAGACGUGUAGAAUGUAGCUCAAUUUUUUAAAAGUAACUGACCUAGAGGGUUAAAGUUGAAACUGACACAUUUUCAAAAAUUAAAAUUAUACUUAUUUUGUACAGAAAACAAUGUUAAACACAAGCAAAUCUGUUGUAUGUAAUAAGUAACACAGAGUUUAAAGACAAAUUAUUUAGCUUUAUUGAGGUUUUUGUUUUUUCCUUCCAGAAACCUGGAAUAUCAUGUUAUGAACAGCAGUCUCACAUCAGAAUAGCAGUGCCCUUUCUUUUUGUACAUAUUGAUUGGACCUUUCUUUACUGUUAUGUGGACACUUUCUAUGUUAGUUUUGAUGCAUAAUUCUUUGAAUCCUUUUAUACAAACUAGAAUGUAUGUGUAAGAAUUCCUGUCCCUGCAAUGUAGUAACUACAAACUUAUUUUUAAAUAAAUAGAAAACUUGUUUUUCUA